rnacentral:tRNA from 1 species
GGAUCAGUAGCUCAGCCCGGUAAGAGCGGCUGCCUCAUAAGCAGUUGGGCGUAGGUUCAAAUCCUACCUGAUCCA